ACGGGAGGCAGCAGUGGGGAAUAUUGGGCAAUGGGCGAAAGCCUGACCCAGCAACGCCGCGUGAAGGAAGAAGGUCUUCGGAUUGUAAACUUCUUUUAUGAGGGACGAAGGACGUGACGGUACCUCAUGAAUAAGCCACGGCUAACUACGUGCCAGCAGCCGCGGUAAUACGUAGGUGGCAAGCGUUAUCCGGAUUUACUGGGUGUAAAGGGCGCGUAGGCGGGGAUGCAAGUCAGGUGUGAAAUCUAUGGGCUUAACUCAUAAACUGCAUUUGAAACUGUAUCUCUUGAGUGCUGGAGAGGUAGAUGGAAUUCCUUGUGUAGCGGUGAAAUGCGUAGAUAUAUGGAAGAACACCAGUGGCGAAGGCGGCUUGCUGGUCCGAUACUGACGUUGAGGCACGAAAGCGUGGGGAGCAAACAGGAUUAGAUACCCUGGUA
rnacentral:rRNA from 1 species